AUUGAACGCUGGCGGCAUGCCUUACACAUGCAAGUCGAACGGUAACAGGUCUUCGGAUGCUGACGAGUGGCGAACGGGUGAGUAAUACAUCGGAACGUGCCUAGUAGUGGGGGAUAACUACUCGAAAGAGUGGCUAAUACCGCAUGAGAUCUACGGAUGAAAGCAGGGGAUCGCAAGACCUUGUGCUACUAGAGCGGCCGAUGGCAGAUUAGGUAGUUGGUGGGAUAAAAGCUUACCAAGCCGACGAGCUGUAGCUGGUCUGAGAGGACGAUCAGCCACACUGGGACUGAGACACGGCCCAGACUCCUACGGGAGGCAGCAGUGGGGAAUUUUGGACAAUGGGCGAAAGCCUGAUCCAGCAAUGCCGCGUGCAGGAUGAAGGCCUUCGGGUUGUAAACUGCUUUCGUACGGAACGAAAAGCCCCGGGUUAAUACCCUGGGGUCAUGACGGUACCGUAAGAAUAAGCACCGGCUAAUUACGUGCCAGCAGCCGCCGUAA
rnacentral:rRNA from 1 species